CCGCCGCUUCCAACCAUCUCCCUCCCUCAGAUCUCGAUCCGCCGCCGCCCCCAACCCCACCCCCACCGCCACCGUCGACGACCCUCACCAUAGACAAGAUCGAGCCCAUGCCCAGAUUCAUGAGUGGAGCCCCGCGAAGCUGCCCGCAAACUGUUCCUCUUCCCCAGCCCCGAUUCCUCUCCAAUCUCCGCCGCCGCCGCCGAUCCCCACCCCCACCGGCGACAUCGUCUCCCCGUCCCCGACCCCAUCCCCACCUCCGGUCGACCUCCCUCCUCAUCUCAUCCAUCCACCCAUGGAAACCUCCUUUUCCACGGAUCCACCCACCCACCCACGUCCACCCAUGGAUGGAUGGAUGGAUGGGGCGCACCAGUUCCGGCGACGGCGGCGCCGGAUCCGCACCCACCUGCGCGAUGGAGGCCGGCCGCAUCGGGAUCCACCGCCUGCUCUCGGUCUGGUGCGGCACACCGGACCACACCUAAGAUUGCUACUGCGGUGGCCGUCGACGACGGCGCAUCUCCGACGGGACCUAGAUGCCCAAGGCAUGCAUCCGUGGUUGGUGACCUCGCGUGCCGCCAUUGCCGGAGGCUGGCUGGCUGGAUCGACGGGCGUCCGCGGUGCUGGUGUUUGCAGCCUUACAUCACAGGGAAGACGCUUUCUAAAAUGUGUGCAUGCCAAGAUUCCUGCAGUUCCACACUGAUUGGUGAGAUUACAAUUAUAAGGGUGGAUCGAUUAGCAUACUCUGCCUACUGAAUGCGUCCACAUAAACUGCCAGGUUAUAUAAGGAAAGAGUGUGGCAUCAGCAACAGAGCUUUCCUUGUACCAAAUGCAUGCACAUCACAUGGCUGCUCAAGUCCUUCCUUCCUUCUGUCAUGCUCGUGCGGAUGGGAGGUUGGUGCCCGCACGGAUCUGGCGUCUCCGACCUCGGCAUCCACAAGGAGGAGCGGUGACAAUUACAUACCCAACCAUGGGGCAGCAGCAAUUCAUGCGCGUGGCGACGAAGAAGGAACACACCUAGUGCCCUGGCAGGAACAGAGUUGCGGAGAGCAGCAGCUCGCAAUCGUGGUCAGGGACCGACCGUCCGAGAGUACACCAUGGAGACGUGGAGUUUAGUCCAGGACAUUGCAGUCACGUAGAUUUUGCUGGUUGUGGCAUUGCUUGAAUGUGGGUUAUUGGAUAACUGGAGCUACAUAGUAUUUCUUCUAAUUUACUCCAGGAGACGAAGACCACGCUUCAUGAAUUCAGGGCGCCACCGAGGUGGUCAUGUGGGAUCCUCUCGAACAGCUCAUGCUCGCUGUCGACUUCGAUGGCAGGGUCACCCGCUCCAUCGGCCCCCUCUCCGGCGGGAUGUACUACUUGGAUUUCAUCCCCUACGUCAACUCAUACACAGAGAUCUACAUUUCUCUUUCUCUUCUAAAGAAAUCCCCUCUGCCUCGCCGCUGAGCUGAGUGUAUGUUGAAACUUUUCGUCCAUCAAGCGCCGCCUCGCCGCCUCCGGCCGCCCUGAUGACGCCCUCGCCUUCGCCAAUCCCCACUCCUCCAUGAGGUAAUUUGUCUCUUGGAAUUUGGAAGAGGAAGAUGAUGUAGCAUGGUUGUUAUCUAUCAAUAUGCCUUGUGUUCUGGUUGUUCUUCAUAGCUAGUUACAUUGUAUUCUGUACUGGUCUGGUUGUAUGAACACUAUGAAAAUGUGAGAAAUAAAAAGCUGAUGAGUUGGACCUACUUAU